rnacentral:rRNA from 1 species
GACAUAGGUGGCGAACGUUAUCCGGAAUUAUUGGGCGUGAAGCGCGUGUAGGCGGCUUUGCAAGUCGGGUGUGAAAGCCCUCAGCUCAACUGAGGAAGUGCGCCCGAAACUGCAGAGCUUGAGUGCCGGAGAGGGUGGCGGAAUUCCCCAAGUAGAGGUGAAAUUCGUAGAUAUGGGGAGGAACACCGGUGGCGAAGGCGGCCACCUGGACGGUUACUGACGCUGAGACGCGAAAGCGUGGGGAGCAAACAGG